ACUUGUUAAGUUGCAGAUUUUGUAUUUUUAGGAAAAAUCCGUAUUUUUACGGAAAUCUGUAUUUUUAGGAAAAUGUCCAGGUGCCUCUAAUCUGGAAAUGGGGAUUGAAACCUCAGGAUAGGUUUCUCCACCUAAAAAAGGAGAAUGAAGCAAAGACACACUUUAGAAACUUUUCCUUGAUCCAUCCAUUAGCCAUCCAAUGGUAAAACUCUCUUCUGUCUGAUUUAAAGUCUGCAAUCUAAGUAAAACUCCCUGCAUUGGAGUGGGUUAAAUAAUUGACACAGAGCUUGAGUCUUGAAGUUGGAAAGGUACUUUCACAUGUCGCAGGCGCUGAGUGUUUGGAUCAGGAAUGUGGUCUGGGUGACUUCCAGGCAUAGCCUGCCUGUGCCAGGCUGGCAGGUUCUCAGCAGGACCCAGCCCCUGUCUCCCCUGGCUUCUAAGAGCUCUAUCUCUGCCAUGUGGGAAGGAAACCGUCUAGGUCUAGAAAUACAGCAAAGGACUGAAUAUAUCUGUGAAAGUGAGCAGUCUGGAAUCAGGGAUGAUUAGCACUCAAAAGAAUGAGAGAUUGUCCUGUUUCUUCUCUGACCACUUUAGAGGUGGGAGAGCUGAGGCCCAAGAUCUGUUCCAUGGCUGGGGACGAGACCCUUCAAGUCACUCAAGUCUGUGCCCAUCCUACUCAGAUGACUCUUCAGAUAGCACCGACCUUGGGCCCCUUGGAUCUCCUCUCGGUGUGGAGCAGGAGACCUGCAGGUGGUUAUUUUUUCUGGGCUCUCGCGUGGCUCUGCCCAGCUUUCCCAGUCUAGAGAAGUGCUGGUGACAGGGCGUGCCGGUGGGUGCCCCUCUGGUUAGUUCUGCCUCAUGCCGGGAGGGGGGAGGGGUGACUAGGGAGGUGCCCCCAACCUUCACCCUUGGCACCACACCACCCUCCACUCUUCUGGGCCCCACAGGUUGGGGGGCCCACACUGGCUUUCUCCUUCUCUUCCCCUCCCCCACACCCUCCCCACUGCCCCCUCCUCUGCCCAGCCCAGGAAGGAGGUGGAAAUAAUUAACACCUAAGUGGAAACUCUUUCACAAGGGUUUGUGAGCCCCUCCACGAAUUUGCAUUUUAAACCUUCUGUCCCUAAUUGUGGAAUGCAAGCCUUUGUCUCCUCUGACACGAAGGGCUGACAAUGGGAAUCAGGUGAAGAGGGCCCCCUCCCCACCCCAAACAUCUACCUCUGAGCGCGGUGCAGAUUAAACCCAUGCUGGAGGAGUGUCACCCCUGACAGUUGGUUUCUGGAAGUGAGCUACGUAGCUGUCUGUGACCUGGGGUCCAGCCGUCUCCACACUACAACGGGCCCAGCCUGGCACUUUUGCCCUCAAGACACUGUCCUGUGUGCAGUGGGGGUUGGGGGCCUGGAGAUAGGUCUACACCUGGUAGCAGGGGCAGAGGACCCCUGAGAGGGGGUGAGCAGCUUGAGUGGGAACCUUCCAAUUAAUUUCUUGAAGGAGUAGAACAGUCACCAAAAAAUUCGAAAGGUUCAGAAGUAAAAAGCAAAUGUUCCUCUUACCCCUUGUUCCCAGAUUCCCCCCCCACCCCCGACCUCGUGAAGCUGCGUGCACGUGUGUGUGCGUGCAUGUGUACCACACUUACGUUUAAUGAUAGUCUAUGGAACACACAUGUUCAUGCUUUUUUUCAGGUCCUUUUCUGGCCUACUUACUUGCUGUGAGACCUGUAAUGUCAUUCAUUUCCUUGUGCUCAAUCUCAUCUGUAAAAUGGGGGGCAAUAAAAAUACUUACCUCACGAGAAUGUUGUGAGGA
rnacentral:lncRNA from 1 species